rnacentral:lncRNA from 10 species
AAGUGCUUCGGUCAGGCAGUAUCUUUGAAAAUAAUUUGGCCAAUGAAAGCCCUGGCAUUGGAUGAAAGUGCUAGCUGCUGGGAAUGCUACCCCUCCUUUUGGUUCUCUUUCAAGUCCUUCAGGUUCAAACAAUACAGAAGUGUAUAAAGUAAGAAUUGAAAGUCUCUUCGCUGCUCUAAUCUCACUCCUCAGAGGUGAUCACUGGACCUGAGUGAGCAGAAGGCUUUUCAGAAUUACAGCCUGAACUAUUUCUUGAGCAAUUUGGGAACUCAUUUCUAAAGCAGUCCUCAGAUUCACACAACGUAGUUUGUGACGGAGUAUGCCCAGAGCAGUGUGGAAGAUGAUCAAAGUAUGACAUUUCUUCUACCCCAGAGGCUGGCAUUUCUGCAGGCACAAAUGAGCUUGGUUUUCAAGCACUGCUCUUUGAACACAAGGAAUUCCUUUAAUGAUCACGCCGGACUAUAUAGACUUUGGAAUCAGACUCUUUGAAUUCCAGCUCUGCCAUUUACCAACUUUGACACUUUGGGGUUUUGGAAAUCUGGAUUGUAGCAGGGCAUUGUGGAUCUGCCUGUUGGUGGAGAACCCUAGACUGCAUGCAGCCAUGCACAUGAUCUGGAGACACAGCAGAGACAAGGUCUUUGUCUGUUGCUCAGGAUGGAGUGUAGUGGUGCCAUAGCACACUGUAAUCUUGAAUUUCUGGACUACUGGCAUACACCACCAUGCUUAGGUUCGGGCCACAACAUCCGUGACUUUACCGGUUUUGGUCUCUUCCUUGUAACUUUCGGCUCCAGGAUGCUGCGCAGCUCCUCUCUGCACUAUCUAUCAGAACGUUGCUCUGCGUGCUUGAAAGUUUCGCCAAACAGAAGUACACAAAAACAAACAGAGGCGAAACACAAAUCCCCUCAGCCCUGGAGGAAAAGGCCUUGAAGCUCUUCCAGUGCAGAGGCCACGCAGAGGACAUGCUCCUACCUGUGCACAUCGGCCACGCCUGGGGUGCCUCCUGGAGUCCAGGCUGCUGGCGAUGGAAUCCAUCAUGUUGCUGAUGUCACU